GACGAACGCUGGCGGCGUGCUUAACACAUGCAAGUCGAACGGAAAGGCCUUUUCGGAGGUACUCGAGUGGCGAACGGGUGAGUAACACGUGGGUGAUCUGCCCUGCACUCUGGGAUAAGCCUGGGAAACUGGGUCUAAUACCGGAUAGGACCGCACUUUAGUGUGUGGGGGGGAAAGUUUUUUCGGUGUAGGAUGAGCCCGCGGCCUAUCAGCUUGUUGGUGGGGUAAUGGCCUACCAAGGCGGCGACGGGUAGCCGGACUGAGAGGUUGGUCGGCCACAUUGGGACUGAGAUACGGCCCAGACUCCUACGGGAGGCAGCAGUGGGGAAUAUUGCACAAUGGGCGCAAGCCUGAUGCAGCGACGCCGCGUGGGGGAGGACGGCCUUCGGGUUGUAAACUCCUUUCGCCAGGGACGAAGCGUUUUGUGACGGUACCUGGAGAAGAAGCACCGGCUAACUACGUG
rnacentral:rRNA from 1 species